rnacentral:rRNA from 1 species
AACGUAGGAUCCGAGCGUUAUCCGAAUUUACUGGGCGUAAAGCGCGUGCAGGCGGUUCGGUAAGUUGGAUGUGAAAUCUCCUGGCUCAACUGGGAGAGGUCGUUCAAUACUGUCGGACUAGAGGGCGGUAGAGGGAGGCGGAAUUCCCGGUGUAGUGGUGAAAUGCGUAGAUAUUGUGCGGAACACCAGAGGCGAAGGCGGCUUACUAGCAUGUUCCUGACCUUGAGGCGCGAAAGCGUGGGGAGCAAAA